rnacentral:rRNA from 1 species
UACGGAGGGGGGCUAGCGUUGUUCGGAAUUACUGGGCGUAAAGCGCACGUAGGCGGCUUUGUAAGUUAGAGGUGAAAGCCCAGGGCUUAACCCUGGAAUUGCCUCUAAGACUGCAUCGCUAGAAUCGUGGAGAGGUGAGUGGAAUUCCGAGUGUAGAGGUGAAAUUCGUAGAUAUUAGGAAGAAACACCAGUGGCGAAGGCGGCUCACUGGCCCGGUACUGACGCUGAGGCGCGAAAGCGUGGGGAGCAAACAGG